rnacentral:lncRNA from 1 species
GUGGGCCCCAAGCCUGAGGAUAUUCUCCGAUCAUCUUCACAGUAACCAUAUAAGUCUGCCGGAAAUCACU